UAUUGCUGUAAGAUUUGCGCUCGAUCAGGUGCUGCUCCGGACACGGUCGGAGAAGCGGUACGAACCCUAUACCUCUUCGGCCGAUCUUUUGCUCCCCCGUCGAGUCGUCUUUUCCUCUGGUGGCGCUCGAGGCCCAGGGUUCCGAUUCGCAGUGCGAGGCAUCGUAUUAAGCGGUUUUUCGUUCAGUAAUUCAAGAAAGUUCGAAUCUUGUUCUUGAGUAAAACCCUCAUCUCUAUUGGUUUGAUCGAAACUAGAAAUACAAGAAGCAGGAUUUUCUCUGCUCCUUGCGCUCCCAUUCCUUUAGUUUGGCUUCGAGGCAGACUCUUUAAUGUUCUUCCUCAUGAACCCAGGAAAUGGCCACCUUCUUCUCUGGACUAGCUUCGAUCAGGAGAGACAAAUUGAUUAAAGCAGGAGGAAUCGGAUGUUGGGCCGGAGUUAAACAUAUCAGAAGAUUGGACGUCGGGCCGGAGGAUCGGUAGACGUGUCGACAGAAGGCUUCGUGCCGUGAAUUCGAGCAUCGGGCCGAAAGAUCGGAUAUUGAGCCAAGGAGAUCGAAAGUUGCGGGUGUCAACAUGCCGAUUGGGCAAUACGCCGAAGGAUCAGACGAAGUAUCGGAAGAACCAAUGACAUGUCGGACAACGGAUGAUUUGUGCUUUGUAAUAAUUUGUCUAUCUCGAGUUAGUUUAGGUCGUAAUUGGGUUAGUUUAGAAUGCAAUUAAGUCAAUUCAAUUAGGGUCCAAUUGGGCCCAAAGUAGGAUUGUUUUGGGCCAAGAGAGAGACCCAUUUAGUGACCCAAAAAUUAGGUCAGGCGAUGGCACCGCUAGUGGCUCAAUCUCCGAGACACGGUCUCCAAGAUUGUGUCAGGCAAUAGUACCGCCAGAUUGAGCGGUGGUACCACCUAGACCACCGCCUAGUAUGGCGGUACUAUUGCCCAGACACAAUCUUCCAAUUUGUGUCAAGCGGUGGUAUCGCCCAGUGUCAGUGCUGCAUGCAGUAGUAUCGCUCAACACAGGCGUUGGUACCGCCAAGACCCGGGAAACCCAGGAUGAGAACUCUUUUGGCUCUAAUUUUGAAGUUAUUUGGGGUCUAUAAAUACCCCAGCUAUUCCUGCAUGGAGAAAUAAGAAUUUGAGCAGAAAUGUGUUGUUAUUCUAAGUUGAAAAAGUGCUAAAUGUCCUCAUCUUUAAGUUUCGGGCUUAGUCUAAAAGAGGUGUGAGGCUUGUAAGGGUUGUCUCUUAAACCCGUGAAGAGAAGAAAAUGUGUAAAAGGGUAGUUGGUCUUUGCCUAUUGAAGGAAGACCGGUAGUGGAAGCCGAUGGCCUCAAGUGAAGAGGAAUCGAUAGUGGAUGUAGGUCACGACGAUCGAACCACUAUAAAUCGGUUUGUAUUUCUGUUUUGCUAUUUUCCUUUAUUGCAAACUGCUUUACUUCCUCGUUACUUUAGUUACAUGCUCUUACGAACGCUUUCAAAGUUAAACAUUGUCGAAAUGAUUUUAUCGUAUGAAGUUUUCGACUCGACGUGAUUUUUA